rnacentral:lncRNA from 1 species
CGUAACUACUCAACUUUCAUAAAACUGCUUUUGUCAUUGCUUGACGAGCGCUGCUCCACUGAGCAAGCAGGAAUUCACCUGCCUCAAGUGUUGGAUUCAGAAUGAGAUUCUGCUGGGAGAACCUGACAGGACAUUCAGGUAUAGACACAACAAGUAUCUAGAAAUCAAUGCGAUUGCAUAAACUUGCUAAAACAAGGGUGAACUCAGGGGCCUUUUUAGCUUUAGAU